GAUGAAGAACGCAGCGAAAUGCGAUAAGUAAUGUGAAUUGCAGAAUUCAGUGAAUCAUCGAAUCUUUGAACGCACAUUGCGCCCGCCAGUAUUCUGGCGGGCAUGCCUGUACGAGCGUCAUUACAACCCUCAGGCCCCCGGGCCUGGCGUUGGGGAUCGGCGGAAGCCCCCUGCGGGCACAACGCCGUCCCCCAAAUACAGUGGCGGUCCCGCCGCAGCUUCCAUUGCGUAGUAGCUAACACCUCGCAACUGGAGAGCGGCGCGGCCACGCCGUAAAACACCCAACUUCUGAAUGUUGACCUCGAAUCAGGUAGGAAUACCCGCUGAACUUAAGCAUAUCAAUAAGCGGAGGA
rnacentral:misc_RNA from 1 species